AACACAGAUAAUGGAAUUUAAUGAUAUGAGAAAUGGAUGAUUAUUGU
rnacentral:guide_RNA from 1 species